rnacentral:tRNA from 1 species
GGGCGGUUAGUUCAGCUGGUUAGAACGCGUGACUUACAUUCACGAGAUUCAGGGGUUCAAAUCCUCUACCGCCCA